rnacentral:lncRNA from 1 species
CAACUUCUCCAUUUAAAUGACCUAGCUUGCCGCGCCCAUGAAUUGCUAAUUUUACGGACUGCGACCAUUCCAGAUAAUUCUUGCCAUUCAACUUGUGAGAUGUCAGUUGAAAAGAAAGGUGAGACGCCUCUAUCCCUUGAGUCAUUGUACUCUCGGUAAUUGUUUCAACUGUAGAACUUUCUUCGUCUGUUUGAUUGCUGGAU